UUUGAUUUUAGAAAAGACGGUUAACAAUGGUUGGUGGAAAUUCGUGUCAUGCAAAUGUCAAAGCCAUACUUUCUAAACUCAUGACAAACAAGUUGAUGGCAUGUUACAACAUGAAUGGAAAAAAUAAAAAAUCAUUCA